AGAAAACAAAGCUUGGCUCUUUAAAGAAGGUAGCAAUCAGUGCAUCUUCAAAGUUCAAGCAUUCCUUGCAAAAGAAGGGGAGAAGGCAUAGCAGGGUUAUGUCUAUUGCAAUUGAGGAUGAAGUUGAUGCAGAAGAGUUGCAAUCAGUUGAUGCUUUUCGCCAAACACUCAUCUUAGAAGAGCUAUUACCCUCAAAGCAUGAUGAUCAUCAUAUGAUGUUAAGAUUCUUGAGAGCAAGAAAAUAUGAAAUCGAGAAAACAAAACAAAUGUGGGCAGAUAUGCUUCAGUGGAGGAGGGAGUUUGGUGCUGACACAAUUCUGGAGGUAACU
rnacentral:sRNA from 1 species